GGAAAGAUAGUUCAAUAGGUAGAACUUCGGUCUCCAAAGCCGAAGGUUGGGGGUUCAAGUCCCUCUCUUUCU
rnacentral:tRNA from 1 species